GAUGAACGCUGGCGGCGUGCCUAAUACAUGCAAGUCGAGCGAACAGAUGAGGAGCUUGCUCCUCUGACGUUAGCGGCGGACGGGUGAGUAACACGUGGAUAACCUACCUAUAAGACUGGGAUAACUUCGGGACACCGGAGCUAAUACCGGAUAAUAUAUUGAACCGCAUGGUUCAAUAGUGAAAGACGGUUUUGCUGUCACUUAUAGAUGGAUCCGCGCCGCAUUAGCUAGUUGGUAAGGUAACGGCUUAUCAAGGCAACGAUGCGUAGCCGACCUGAGAGAGUGAUCGGCCACACUGGAACUGAGACACGGUCCAGACUCCUACGGGAGGCAGCAGUAGGGAAUCGUCCGCAAUGGGCGAAAGCCUGACGGAGCAACGCCGCGUGAGUGAUGAAGGUCUUCGGAUCGUAAAACUCUGUUAUUAGGGAAGAACAAAUGUGUAAGUAACUAUGCACGUCUUGACGGUACCUAAUCAGAAAGCCACGGCUAACUACGUG
rnacentral:rRNA from 1 species